rnacentral:lncRNA from 1 species
UAUGCAUGCAUGCAUGUAUCCUAUCAUUCAAAAUGGUUAAGUUUCAGUGAAUCCAUGAUGUCACAUAAGAAGUCAUCAAAGUUACUACUUGGAAGCAAGCCGAGUAAGAAUGAGAACUCUGAAAUAUACAAAUCACUCUGCUGGAGCAUGACUAUUUGAUUCUCUUGGCAUCAUUUCACAUUUUAUUGAUCAUUUAGCAUCUUGAGAACUGUUAAUAAAAUACCUUUUUCAUUUCUUUAGUUAUUUUAACGUGUAAAAGUUAGAGCCAAGCCAGUGAUUAAGAGAUCAAUUCUUAUCAAGGAAGAAAAAGAUCUAGCUUGACACCCAUAUGUCCCACA